UACGUAGGGUGCAAGCGUUAAUCGGAAUUACUGGGCGUAAAGCGUGCGCAGGCGGUCUUGUAAGUCAGGUGUGAAAUCCCCGGGCUUAACCUGGGAACUGCAUUUGUGACUGCAUAGCUAGAGUACGGUAGAGGGGGAUGGAAUUCCGCGUGUAGCAGUGAAAUGCGUAGAUAUGCGGAGGAACACCGAUGGCGAAGGCAAUCCCCUGGACCUGUACUGACGCUCAUGCACGAAAGCGUGGGGAGCAAACAGG
rnacentral:rRNA from 1 species